rnacentral:rRNA from 1 species
AUUGAACGCUGGCGGCAGGCUUAACACAUGCAAGUCGAGCGAGCGGCGGACGGGUGAGUCAUGUCUGGGAAACUGCCUGAUGGAGGGGGAUAACUACUGGAAACGGUAGCUAAUACCGCAUACCAUAAGAUGGUCCCAGAUGGGAUUAGCUAGUAGGUGGGGUGAUGGCUCACCUAAGCGCCGAUCCCUAGCUGGUCUGAAAGGGUGCCCAGACACACUGGAACUGAGACACGGUCCAGACUCAUACGGGAGGCAGCAGUGGGGAAUGUUGCACAAUGGGCGCAAGCCUGAUGCAGCCAUGCCGCGUGUGUGAAGAAGGCCUUCGGGUUGUAAAGCACUUUCAGCGAGGAGGCGUUACUCGCAGAAGAAGCACCGGCUAACUCCGUGCCAGCAGCCGCGGUAAUAC